rnacentral:rRNA from 1 species
CAGCAGCCACGGGAAUACGGAGGGUGCAAGCGUUAAUCGGAAUUACUGGGCGUAAAGCGCACGCAGGCGGUCUGUCAAGUCAGAUGUGAAAUCCCCGGGCUUAACCUGGGAACUGCAUUUGAAACUGGCAGGCUAGAGUCUUGUAGAGGGGGGUAGAAUUCCAGGUGUAGCGGUGAAAUGCGUAGAGAUCUGGAGGAAUACCGGUGGCGAAGGCGGCCCCCUGGACAAAGACUGACGCUCAGGUGCGAAAGCGUGGGGAGCAAACAGGAUUAGAUACCCCUGUAGUCCCUGUCUCUUAUAA